GACGAACGCUGGCGGCGUGCUUAACACAUGCAAGUCGAACGGAAAGGCCCUGCUUUUGUGGGGUGCUCGAGUGGCGAACGGGUGAGUAACACGUGAGUAACCUGCCCUUGACUUUGGGAUAACUUCAGGAAACUGGGGCUAAUACCGGAUAGGAGCUCCUGCUGCAUGGUGGGGGUUGGAAAGUUUCGGCGGUUGGGGAUGGACUCGCGGCUUAUCAGCUUGUUGGUGGGGUAGUGGCUUACCAAGGCUUGGACGGGUAGCCGGCCUGAGAGGGUGACCGGCCACAUUGGGACUGAGAGACGGCCCAGACUCCUACGGGAGGCAGCAGUGGGGAAUAUUGCACAAUGGGCGGAAGCCUGAUGCAGCAACGCCGCGUGCGGGAUGACGGCCUUCGGGUUGUAAACCGCUUUCGCCUGUGACGAAGCGUGAGUGACGGUAAUGGGUAAAGAAGCACCGGCUAACUACGUG
rnacentral:rRNA from 1 species